rnacentral:miRNA from 1 species
GCAGACACAUUCCAGCCAAUCAGCAGCAGACCCUCCCUCCCAGACCCUCCCACCUCCUGGACAGCAUCCAUUUUGAAGCUGCAUUCUUAGUGAGCUGUCCAGGAGAUGGGAGGGUCUGGGAGGGAGGGUCUGCUGCUGAUUGGCUGGAAUGUGUCUG